rnacentral:rRNA from 1 species
AGUGAACGCUGGCGGUAGGCCUAACACAUGCAAGUCGAACGGCAGCACAGUAAGAGCUUGCUCUUACGGGUGGCGAGUGGCGGACGGGUGAGGAAUACAUCGGAAUCUACUUUUUCGUGGGGGAUAACGUAGGGAAACUUACGCUAAUACCGCAUACGAUCUACGGGUGAAAGCAGGGGAUCUUCGGACCUUGCGCGAUUGAAUGAGCCGAUGCCGGAUUAGCUAGUUGGCGGGGUAAAGGCCCACCAAGGCGACGAUCCGUAGCUGGUGUGAGUGGAUGAUCGGCCGCACUAGAGCUGAGACACGGUCCAGGCGCCUACGGGAGGCCGCAGUGGGGAAUGUUGGGCAAUGGGCGCAAGCCUGAUCCAGCCAUAGCGCGUGGGUGAAGAAGACGUUCGGGUUGUAAAGCCCUUUUGUUGGUAGAGAAAAGCAUCAGCUUGAUACCCCGCGGUACUGGCGGUACCCAAAGAAUAAGCACCGGCUAACUUCGUG